rnacentral:rRNA from 1 species
CUACGGGAUGCUCCAGUGAGGAAUAUUGCAUAAUGGAGGAAACUCUGAUGUAGCAACGCCGCGUGGAGGAUGACGCAUUUCGGUGUGUAAACUCCUUUUAUAUGUCAAGAAAAUGACGGUAGCAUAUGAAUAAGCACCGGCUAACUCCGUGCCAGCAGCCGCGGUAAUACGGAGGGUGCAAGCGUUACUCGGAAUCACUGGGCGUAAAGGACGCGUAGGCGGGAUAUCAAGUCAGGUGUGAAAUCCUACAGCUUAACUGUAGAACUGCACUUGAAACUGGUAACCUAGAGUAUGGGAGGGGGAGAUGGAAUUAGUGGUGUAGGGGUAAAAUCCGUAGAUAUCACUAGGAAUACCUAAAGCGAAGGCGAUCUCCUGGAACAUAACUGACGCUAAGGCGUGAAAGCGUGGGGAGCAAACAGGAUUAGAUACCCGCGUAGUC